GGUUAAGCGACUAAGCGUACACGGUGGAUGCCCUGGCAGUCAGAGGCGAUGAAGGGCGUGCUAAUCUGCGAUAAGCGCCGGUAAGGUGAUAUGAACCGUUAUAACCGGCGAUACCCGAAUGGGGAAACCCAGUGUGAUUGGUCACACUAUCAUUAACUGAAUCCAUAGGUUAAUGAGGCGAACCGGGGGAACUGAAACAUCUAAGUACCCCGAGGAAAAGAAAUCAACCGAGAUUCCCCCAGUAGCGGCGAGCGAACGGGGAGGAGCCCAGAGCCUGAAUCAGCAUGUGUGUUAGUGGAAGCGUCUGGAAAGGCGCGCGAUACAGGGUGACAGCCCCGUACACAAAAGCGCAUGUGCUGUGAGCUCGAUGAGUAGGGCGGGACACGUGGUAUCCUGUCUGAAUAUGGGGGGACCAUCCUCCAAGGCUAAAUACUCCUGACUGACCGAUAGUGAACCAGUACCGUGAGGGAAAGGCGAAAAGAACCCCGGCGAGGGGAGUGAAAAAGAACCUGAAACCGUGUACGUACAAGCAGUGGGAGCACCCUUCGGGGUGUGACUGCGUACCUUUUGUAUAAUGGGUCAGCGACUUAUAUUCUGUAGCAAGGUUAACCGUAUAGGGGAGCCGGAGGGAAACCGAGUCUUAAUUGGGCGUUAAGUUGCAGGGUAUAGACCCGAAACCCGGUGAUCUAGCCAUGGGCAGGUUGAAGGUUGGGUAACACUAACUGGAGGACCGAACCGACUAAUGUUGAAAAAUUAGCGGAUGACCUGUGGCUGGGGGUGAAAGGCCAAUCAAACCGGGAGAUAGCUGGUUCUCCCCGAAAGCUAUUUAGGUAGCGCCUCGUGAAUUCAUCUCCGGGGGUAGAGCACUGUUUCGGCUAGGGGGCCAUCCCGGCUUACCAACCCGAUGCAAACUGCGAAUACCGGAGAAUGUUAUCACGGGAGACACACGGCGGGUGCUAACGUCCGUCGUGAAGAGGGAAACAACCCAGACCGCCAGCUAAGGUCCCAAAGUCAUGGUUAAGUGGGAAACGAUGUGGGAAGGCCCAGACAGCCAGGAUGUUGGCUUAGAAGCAGCCAUCAUUUAAAGAAAGCGUAAUAGCUCACUGGUCGAGUCGGCCUGCGCGGAAGAUGUAACGGGGCUAAACCAUGCACCGAAGCUGCGGCAGCGAACGUAUCACCCAAGACAACUUUACGGAGUUGACGAUUGACGGAGCGAAGCGACGUCAAAGCGUUCAUUAAAGUCGAGUUGGCUUAGGGAUACGUUCGUUGGGUAGGGGAGCGUUCUGUAAGCCUGUGAAGGUGUGUCGUGAGGCAUGCUGGAGGUAUCAGAAGUGCGAAUGCUGACAUAAGUAACGAUAAAGCGGGUGAAAAGCCCGCUCGCCGGAAGACCAAGGGUUCCUGUCCAACGUUAAUCGGGGCAGGGUGAGUCGACCCCUAAGGCGAGGCCGAAAGGCGUAGUCGAUGGGAAACGGGUUAAUAUUCCCGUACUUGGUGUUACUGCGAAGGGGGGACGGAGAAGGCUAUGUUGGCCGGGCGACGGUUGUCCCGGUUUAAGCGUGUAGGUGUGUGUUCCAGGUAAAUCCGGUUCACUUUAACACUGAGGCGUGACGACGAGGCACUACGGUGCUGAAGCAACAAAUGCCCUGCUUCCAGGAAAAGCCUCUAAGCAUCAGGUAACAUCAAAUCGUACCCCAAACCGACACAGGUGGUCAGGUAGAGAAUACCAAGGCGCUUGAGAGAACUCGGGUGAAGGAACUAGGCAAAAUGGUGCCGUAACUUCGGGAGAAGGCACGCUGACACGUAGGUGAAGUGAUUUACUCAUGGAGCUGAAGUCAGUCGAAGAUACCAGCUGGCUGCAACUGUUUAUUAAAAACACAGCACUGUGCAAACACGAAAGUGGACGUAUACGGUGUGACGCCUGCCCGGUGCCGGAAGGUUAAUUGAUGGGGUCAGCGCAAGCGAAGCUCCUGAUCGAAGCCCCGGUAAACGGCGGCCGUAACUAUAACGGUCCUAAGGUAGCGAAAUUCCUUGUCGGGUAAGUUCCGACCUGCACGAAUGGCGUAAUGAUGGCCAGGCUGUCUCCACCCGAGACUCAGUGAAAUUGAACUCGCUGUGAAGAUGCAGUGUACCCGCGGCAAGACGGAAAGACCCCGUGAACCUUUACUAUAGCUUGACACUGAACAUUGAGCCUUGAUGUGUAGGAUAGGUGGGAGGCUUUGAAGUGUGGACGCCAGUCUGCAUGGAGCCGACCUUGAAAUACCACCCUUUAAUGUUUGAUGUUCUAACGUGGACCCGUAAUCCGGGUUGCGGACAGUGUCUGGUGGGUAGUUUGACUGGGGCGGUCUCCUCCUAAAGAGUAACGGAGGAGCACGAAGGUUGGCUAAUCCUGGUCGGACAUCAGGAGGUUAGUGCAAUGGCAUAAGCCAGCUUGACUGCGAGCGUGACGGCGCGAGCAGGUGCGAAAGCAGGUCAUAGUGAUCCGGUGGUUCUGAAUGGAAGGGCCAUCGCUCAACGGAUAAAAGGUACUCCGGGGAUAACAGGCUGAUACCGCCCAAGAGUUCAUAUCGACGGCGGUGUUUGGCACCUCGAUGUCGGCUCAUCACAUCCUGGGGCUGAAGUAGGUCCCAAGGGUAUGGCUGUUCGCCAUUUAAAGUGGUACGCGAGCUGGGUUUAGAACGUCGUGAGACAGUUCGGUCCCUAUCUGCCGUGGGCGCUGGAGAACUGAGGGGGGCUGCUCCUAGUACGAGAGGACCGGAGUGGACGCAUCACUGGUGUUCGGGUUGUCAUGCCAAUGGCACUGCCCGGUAGCUAAAUGCGGAAGAGAUAAGUGCUGAAAGCAUCUAAGCACGAAACUUGCCCCGAGAUGAGUUCUCCCUGAGACUUAGAGUCUCCUGAAGGAACGUUGAAGACGACGACGUUGAUAGGCCGGGUGUGUAAGCGCAGCGAUGCGUUGAGCUAACCGGUACUAAUGAACCGUGAGGCUUAACCUU
rnacentral:rRNA from 1 species